GUGGAAACCACCAACCAAUUGGAAGGUGACUAGGGUGAAUAUAGCCCAAGGAACUUGCAAAACUCUUUGGAGGGCCAAGGAGUAAAGGACUUCAUUCAGGGUGUGACAUGGUGGGCCACACCCAUCAACAGAAUCUCAGCCAGGGCUUCAGAACUAAUGUAAAAAGUGAAAAAAUCUUAUAACUCAGUUACAAAGACUUAGUUUUACUGCUAAUAAUGAACGUGGAACUUAUAGUCCUUUGCCUUCUACUCUGUCCAAAUCUGAUGAGUUAUUUUAGCCUAGAAAGUUCCAUAAAAUGUAUACCACCAAAAAGAAAAAUUCUGACUGCAGGGAAGCAGUACACUCUGUAGACCCCGGAGAAAAAUAAAUCACCAUGAGAUUUGACAACAAUCAAUUUUUCACUGCACGCUAAUCAAGCAGAUAGAAAGAAGGCCAUGGGGUCUCAGCAGUCCCCUUUAGAAGAAGCGUGGGGCAUCACCCAAGUCUUCAGCACCAUCAAGGACGCCAACCCAGACAGCCAACUUCACCAUCCAUACUACUUGUCUUGCCUUCUAUAGCCUUUGGCUUUUAAAGCUUUUCCAGACCAUUAGAAACUGGCC
rnacentral:lncRNA from 1 species